CUACCACAUCCAAGGAAGGCAGCAGGCGCGCAAAUUACCCACUCCCGGAACGGGGAGGUAGUGACCGAAAAAUAACAAUACGGGACUCUUUUGAGACCCCGUAAUUGGAAUGAGCACACUCUAAAUCCUUUAACGAGGACCCAUUGGAGGACAAGUCUGGUGCCAGCACCCGCGGUAAUUCCAGCUCCAAUAGCGUAUAUUAAAGUUGUUGCGGUUAAAAAGCUCGUAGUUGGAUCUCAGUUCCAGACGGGCGGUCCGCCUACCGGCGGCCACUGCCUGUUCUGAACAGCCAGCCGGUUUCCCUUGAUGAUCUUCACCGGUUGUCUCGGGUGACCGGCAAGUUUACUUUGAAAAAAUUAGAGUGCUCAAAGCAGGCGCGACGCCUGGAUAAUGGUGCAUGGAAUAAUGGAAUAGGACCUCGGUUCUAUUUUGUUGGUUUUCGGAACGCGAGGUAAUGACUAAGAGGGACAGACGGGGGCAUUCGUAUUGCGACGCUAGAGGUGAAAUUCUUGGACCGUCGCAAGACGAACUACUGCGAAAGCAUUUGCCAAGAAUGUUUCCAUUAAUCAAGAACGAAAGUUAGAGGUUCGAAGGCGAUCAGAUACCGCCCUAGUUCUAACCAUAAACGAUGCCAGCCAGCGAUCCGGCUGUGUUCCUCAAAUGACACGCCGGGCAGCUUCCGGGAAACCAAAGCUUUUGGGUUCCGGGGGAAGUAUGGUU
rnacentral:rRNA from 1 species